rnacentral:snRNA from 8 species
UUGUUGGCCUGGCAGGGGGGACACUGUCAUCGUGGAAAGCGGGCUUUCUAGGGUGAAGCCAAUCCUUCGCACUCCAGAUGUGCGGAUCCCUGUAAUUUUCCAGGUGCUGAUCCCUGGAAUUUCCCAGGAAUCUCAGCUGCAUAGUUUUUGGUAGGAAGAGACUGUCUGCACCUUUCC